rnacentral:rRNA from 1 species
UACGUAGGGGGCAAGCGUUGUCCGGAAUCAUUGGGCGUAAAGCGCGUGUAGGCGGCCUUGUAAGUCCGUUCUGAAAGCCCGGGGCUCAACCCCGGGAGGCGGAUGGAUACUGCAGGGCUCGAGUACGGAAGAGGCGAGUGGAAUUCCCGGUGUAGCGGUGAAAUGCGCAGAUAUCGGGAGGAACACCAGUGGCGAAGGCGGCUUCCUGGCCGUGUUCGUGACGCUGAGGCGCGAAAGCUAGGGGAGCAAACGGG